AUGAUGUAUAAGGCAACAAAACUAACAAAAGCAUGCAUCGACAUGCCACAUUUAUCCCCUCCAUGUAUUUAUAUUACAUUACAAAUUGUAUACCCAACAGUUCUGCAAUGCAGAGGAAUUCAGCAAUGCAAUCAAUCCAUCACAUUCUUGGUGUUGGCUGCUUGUCGUAACUCUUUUCUGGUGCCUUCUUGUGUAUGUUGGAUGCCAUCUUUUGUACCUGAUGUGUUGUAUCUUACUCUUAUUUAUAAUGAAAAUGGUUCACGCCGGUGUAAGCCCGCCGUAGCACUGUCAAAAAAAUCUUCACAUUCUUGCCAGAUGUAUGCUAGUGUCAUCACCAGAGAAAGGGGAAACAAAUUCUUAUGA
rnacentral:rRNA from 1 species